CUUAUGUUCCUGACCAUACAGAAAACCACAUGAUAUCAACUUACAUUUUAUGCGAAACCAUGUGAAAACAUGUAGAUGGCGGUGUUGCACUGUUGUAGCAGGAGAAACAGCAUGUUCUGACCAAGCGCUCACCAUUCUGCAGAAUAAGGAUCAGAACUUUACAGAGCAGUUCAUUGUGGCCCUGUUGUUCGCCUCCUUCACCAAAGCUCUGUCAGGGACCUACAUGAAGAGUGCCAUCACUCACAGAGACACUUUGACCUGUCCAGCUCUCUCAUCGGACUCAUAGACGGCAGCUUUGAGAUGGGUAACCUGCUGUUCCUGGCUGUGGUCACCAUUUUGGGGGGAAGCUGCACCGGCCCAGGUUCAUUGCUAUGGGCUGUUUCCUCAUGGCUGUAGGAUCCUUCCUCACAUGCCUGCCACACUUCUUCAUGGGACGAUAUAAAACAACUGAAAUACUGGUUAAACUUGCACUUGUAGAGAUACUCCAAUGCGGAGGAUAGUUUCACUUUAGAAAUAAAGAAAUGUAUCCAGUUUUCGAUUAAUCUCAGUUAGCUUAUAACUAAAGUCUUGCGUAAUUGGUCAGCUGCUUGGUUAUGUUUUGGGGCCAUACAUGUUAAGAGAAGGGAUUAAGAGAUGCUAUAACUGUGACGUGGUAAGGUUGGACCCAGGUGCAGAGACAAGACCAGAAGAUGAAGCAGUGGUUCCAACCAGUAUCGCCACCCCUCAAGGGCCCACUUAACUGCCAAAAGCUCCCAGUUGCCUACAUCGUAGUUGCCUUCCGCUGGUGAGACCCGCUUGGAGAGAAAGGUGCAUGGGUGCAGUUUCUUGUCCUCCUCGUUCCGCUGUGAAAGUACCGCACCAGCUCCGGUGUCCAAGGCGUCCACCUCUACCACAAAGGGGCGAGUAGGAUCAGGAUAAACAAGGAUGGGUUUGGAGGUUAAGCGUCCCUUGAUCUCUAUGAAUGCCCUGUCAGCCUCGGGAUUCCUGCAAAAACCUGCUUGAGUGUGGUGGGACAGGCCCGUAAGUGUUCCGGAGGGGUUUUUGGAGAAGAUCAGGAUGUCGUCGAGGUGAACAAAGACGAACCGGUUCAACAUAUCCCUAAGAGAGUCAUUGAUCAAUGCCUGAAAGACUGCCGAUUUUAAGCGUUGAGGAGGUCCAGUUUGGUGAAGAAUUGGACUCCUAGGGCCAACUCAAAGGCGGCGGACAUCGGGUAGGGGGUCCCCUGGUGUACGAUGGCAGCCUGUUGGCAGAGUGUAACAGAGACUGCUCCUGCUUGGCUGGGGAGUGGGACCCUGUGUGUUCAGACAACGGCAUCACCUACACAUCUCCCUGCCUCGCAGGCUGCUCCAGCAUUACAGGUUAUGGCAAGAAUACAGUACCAAUACUAUUAAUGGACUGAGUGUACAACACAUUCACAGUGAUGAUGGCCCAUGUUGACUCCAAUGGCUCCCACAGUUGUGUCAAGUUGGCUGUAUGUCUUUUGAGUGGUGGACCAUUCUUGAUACACACGGGAAACUGUUGAGCGUAAACAACCCAGCAGCGUUGCAGUUCUUGACACAAACUGGUACCCCUGGCACCUACUACCAUGCCCCGUUGAAAGGCACGUAAAUAUUUUGUAUGCCUAUUAACCCUCUGAAUGGCACACACACACAAUCCAUGUCUCAAUUGUCUCAAGCUUUACAAUAUAUUUUUUUACCUUUCUCCUACUCUUUAUCUACACUGAUUUAAGUGGAUUUAACUAGUGACAUCCAUAAGGGAUUAUAGCUUUAACCAUGGAUUCACCUGGUCAGCAUAUGUUAUGGAAAGAGCCGGUGUUCUUAAUGUUUUAUACACUCAGUGUAACUCAUGGCACUGACAUGUACCACUGCAUAUACAUUCAGAGAGUUUGGUAUUUUUCCUGGAGGGCCACAACGUGUAGUAAUCUUUGGCCAAACCAGGCACACUAGAGUCUAUGGAGCGAUAUGAUGUUGAAUCUGAAAUUCAGUUUCUGUUGGCACUAAUAUCACUCCAUAACAUUCUAGCUAUAUGUCUUGGUUAAUGCCUGGUUUGAAAAAAAUGAAAAAGACUGUAGCUCCUAAAGACAUGAUGGGCCACCACUUGGGUAGAAGCACUAUAUGGUCCUGUAGCCUACUUUGUCACAUGUAAACAAGUUUAGGUUGCCAAAUGUUAACAAAAAUCCUAUGCUUCCACUAGUCCCAGUCAAACUUAUCUUGACCUUUAUCAACCCUACUGCAUAUGCCCUUUAGCUUUCAUUUCAAUUUCAUUUUAUUGUACAUUGUUUGGGACGGCACAAGACACUUUAAAAAUAAAAUGGUGUAUAUU